UGCCUGUCCACAUAAUUCUACUCACUGGGGGGAAAGUAAUAAGGUGGAAACCGAACUAGAGUGUUCUUUAUUUAAGCAAUGCUAGAAAGGGAAGCAAUACUUAGGGCAGAAGUAGAGGUCCUUAUAGUUAGUUUCGGUACUGGAUUCCGCAUAACCAAUUAGAACCGACAAGCUAACCUUAGCAACGGACCAAUUCUUUAGUCCCUUAUAUGAAGUCGCCGGAGGGAUAGUUUACAUAGGCGAAUUCCAGAACCAGAACUUGACUACUACUACCAGGUACCCUACUUUAAGGACAUAGGCGGAUGUUUUACUUGCAGAGGCAGAGGGGCUUCAAUGACUUAAGGGCUUGAAAUCAAUCUACUGAAGGAAUAUGCUUACCGCUUCAACUGUGUUGUAGUUGCUAAGUGAACUUGGACCUGCUCUAGAUCUUUCUCAGUACUUUCGAACAAAACUUGAUGAAUAGACAACUUUAGCACCCGAACGUAACUACUCGGUUCAGCCAAGCACCUUUCCUAUACACCUCACUUACUCAAGUAAACUAUACUUUUGAGCUAUAGCGCGACAAGAGGAGAAGGCCUAUUUUCGUCCUUUAACCACCAAGCCACCACUUGUUCUUAUCCUUGUUUGGAACAGAUCUGGUGGAUAUAUCGGAAUAGGGCUUUUAGGUUGAUUUCCCUUUCCUGCGCUUGCUGCCGACUUCACCUCUUAUUAAACUAGACCAGACCACUAUGCCUACAGAUGCAACUGGAACUGGGUAUUCUUUGGAUUCCAACUUGAUAGCUCAGCAGACUUCCUUAAGAUAUAAGUAAAGUCACCAACCCUUCCUGUCUUUAUGGCGUAAGUAAAGUAACCAAACCUUCCUGUCAAUUCUUCGGUACGGUGCGAGGAAAGG
rnacentral:lncRNA from 1 species